AUGUCUGAAGAAGUUACUUAUGCAGAUCUUCAAUUCCAGAACUCCAGUGAGAAGGAAAAAAUCCCAGAAAUUGGCAAAUUUGGGGAAAAAGCACCUCCAGCUCCCUCUCGUGUAUGGCGUCCAGCAGCCUUGUUUCUGACUCUUCUGUGCCUUCUGUUGCUCAUUGGAUUGGGAGUCUUGGCAAGCAUGUGUAUGUACUGCCCCUGUUUUGGUCAAAAGAGGAAGUAUCUAGAAUUUCAAAUAUUUAACAACAAAAGUUUAUUCCUUCAGUGGAAGAUUUAUAAUAAUGAUAGGUGAUAGGCCCACAAGGAGGACUUACAAUGUGGAACUUAGUCUCUUUCCCUCACUCCUGUAGAGUAAUUGCUUUCCCUACCCCUUUAAUCUUUAUACUACUUCUGCAAAUGAUAAAGGAUGAUGGCUCUAUUGAGAAUUUACAAUUUUUUGUCAUUUUUUUAAUGUGGAGUUCACGUAACUUUGAAGAUAGAAAUGAAAAAAAUGAACAAACUACAAAACAUCAGUGAAGAGCUCCAGAGAAAUGUUUCUCUACAACUGAUGAGUAACAUGAAUAUCUCCAACAAGAUCAGGAACCUCUCCACCACACUGCAAACAAUAGCCACCAAAUUAUGUCGUGAGCUAUAUAGCAAAGAACAAGAGCACGAAUGUAAGCCUUGUCCAAGGAGAUGGAUUUGGCAUAAGGACAGCUGUUAUUUCCUAAGUGAUGAUGUCCACACAUGGCAGGAGAGUAAAAUGGCCUGUGCUGCUCAGAAUGCCAGCCUGUUGAAGAUAAACAACAAAAAUGCAUUGGAAUUUAUAAAAUCCCAGAGUAGAUCAUAUGACUAUUGGCUGGGAUUAUCUCCUGAAGAAGAUUCCACUCAUGGUAUGAGAGUGGAUAAUAUAAUCAACUCCUCUGCCUGGGUUAUAAGAAACGCACCUGACUUAAAUAACAUGUAUUGUGGAUAUAUAAGUAGACUAUAUGUUCAAUAUUAUCACUGCACUUAUAAACAAAGAAUGAUAUGUGAGAAGAUGGCCAAUCCAGUGCAGCUUGGUUCUAUAUAUUUUAGGGAGGCAUGA
rnacentral:sRNA from 1 species